GUGCUCGCUUCAGCAGCACAGGUACUAAAACUGGAACCACACAGAGAAGAUGAGCAUGGCCCUGCACAAGGAUGACACACACACAUUUAUGAAGUGUUCCAUAUUUUA